rnacentral:rRNA from 1 species
GACGAACGCUGGCGGCGUGCCUAAUACAUGCAAGUAGAACGCUGAAGGAGGAGCUUGCUUCUCUGGAUGAGUUGCGAACGGGUGAGUAACGCGUAGGUAACCUGCCUGGUAGCGGGGGAUAACUAUUGGAAACGAUAGCUAAUACCGCAUAAGAGUAGAUGUUGCAUGACAUUUGCUUAAAAGGUGCAAUUGCAUCACUAACAGAUGGCCCUGCGUUGUAUUAGCUAGAUGGUGAGGUAACGGCUCACCAAGGAAACGAUACAUAACCGACCGGAGAGGGUGAUCGGCCACACUGGGACUGAGACACGGCCCAGACUCCUACGGGAGGCAGCAGUAGGGAAUCUUCGGCAAUGGACGGAAGUCUGACCGAGCAACGCCGCGUGAGUGAAGAAGGUUUUCGGAUCGUAAAGCUCUGUUGUAAGGGAAGAACGAGUGUGAGAGUGGAAAGUGCACACUGGGACGGUAUCUUACCAGAAAGGGACGGCUAACUACGG